AUUGAAACACUGGUUCCAGUAUGAUCACCGAAGUUAAGCAACGUCGAGCCAAGUCAAUACCUAGAUGGAUGACCGCUUUGGAAUACCAAGUGUUGCAAU